CUAAAAUUUUGGCAAUGAGUUGGGGGUUUCCCAGGUUUGGGUAAGGUCGAUAUGUGGGCUAUGAGCAUAUCUGGCGGUACUGUUCCAGAGGUGUAGCAGGAGUUGUAUAGGUUUGUGAGGUGAGGCGUAAGUAGGCUGGUAUAGGUCUGGUAGUAAAGGUUGGUAUAGCCAUCCGGCCCUGGGGCUUUUUGUUUGGGUAAGUCUCAGAUUGUCUGCUCUACUUCUUCCAUCUUAAAUGGUGAGGUGAGGGUCGUUAUGUCGGAGUCUUGCAGUUUGGGG